rnacentral:tRNA from 1 species
AGGAUUAUAUUUAAUAAUAAUAUUUGAAUUGCAAUCAGAAGGUAUCUUAAUAAAAGAUUAAUCUUU